GACGAACGCUGGCGGCGUGCUUAACACAUGCAAGUCGAGCGGUAAGGCCCUUUCGGGGGUACACGAGCGGCGAACGGGUGAGUAACACGUGGGUGACCUGCCCUCAGCUCUGGGAUAAGCCUGGGAAACCGGGUCUAAUACCGGAUAUGACUCCAUGACGCAUGUUGUGGGGUGGAAAGCCUUGUGCGGCUGAGGAUGGGCCCGCGGCCUAUCAGCUUGUUGGUGGGGUGAUGGCCUACCAAGGCGACGACGGGUAGCCGGCCUGAGAGGGCGACCGGCCACACUGGGACUGAGACACGGCCCGACGACUCCUACCGGGAGGGCGAGCAGUGGGGAAGUCUUGCGCAAUGGGCGAAAGCCUGACGCAGCAACGCCGCGUGAAGG
rnacentral:rRNA from 1 species